GGAUCAUUACAGAGUUUAUCAAACUCCCAAACCUAACGCUCGUAGGCCUUUUGUUGCCUCGGCGGAUAGAGCUACCCUGUCGUAGAUGAUGAGUUGUCCGGGUAGCCACUACCGCCGGCGGCCCCGAAACUCUUGUUAUACCUUGCAGCUCUGGAUCAAACAAACAAAUUGGACGAUGAGCCCAACAACGGGUCUCUUGGUUCUGGCAUCGAUGAAGAACGCAGCGAAAUGCGAUACGUAGUGUGAAUUGCAAGGCCUCGUGAUAGAUCGAAUCUUUGAACGCACAUCCGUAAUAGUUGUACUCUAGUGGGCAUGCCUGUCCGAGCGUCAUUUCGACCAUUAAGCCCUGUCGCUUAGCGUUGGGAGCCUACGGCGCGGCCCGUAGCUCCUCAAAGUUAGUGGCGGAGUCCGGCACGUCUCUAGGCGCAGUAAUUCUUCUCGCCUCUGCAGCGGUCCGGCUGCCAGAUAGAUAACCCCCAACUAAAUACUGGUUGACCUCGGAUCAGGUAGGAAUACCCGCUUGAGAGCAGUCGUCGCGCGCCUCGUGAGAUGAAAACCAACAGGGAUUGCCCUAGUAACGGCGAGUGAGGCGGCAAUAGGACCUCGCUGACAUAGAUGC
rnacentral:rRNA from 1 species